rnacentral:rRNA from 1 species
UACGUAGGGUGCGAGCGUUGUCCGGAAUUACUGGGCGUAAAGAGCGCGUAGGCGGCUGGAUAAGUCGGCUGUGAAAGACGUGGGCUCAACUCACGGAUUGCGGUUGAUACUGUCUGGCUAGAGUGCGGGAGAGGGAAGUGGAAUUCCCGGUGUAGCAGUGAAAUGCGUAGAGAUCAGGAGGAACACCGAUGGCGAAGGCAGCCCCCUGGGCCUGUACUGACGCUCAUGCACGAAAGCGUGGGGAGCAAACAGG